CUGGCUGGGGUGUGUGCGGCGUGCUGUGCUGUGUAUCGUUGGCUGGAGUGUGCCGUGUGUGUGUGUCUUUGGGGUUGUGCGCAGUGUGCUCCGUGUGUGUGUCUCUGGCUGGGGUGUGUGCGGCGUGCUGUGCUGUGUGUGUGUCAUUGGCUGGAGUGUGCUCCGUGCGUGUGCUGUGUGCGAGUCACUGGCUGGGGGGUGUGCGGUGUGCUGUGUGUGUGUGUGUGUGCAGUGCGUGUGUGGGACCGGCUGGGGUGUGUGCAGGGUGGCCCGUUGAAUUCCCGGGUUCGGCGGCCGCUUUGGAAACUGACUGGGCGUCGGUGGGCGGCGGGCGCUGUCCCGGACCGUGUCUCUCUGUCUCUGUCUCUGCGGGAAGGGGGGGGAGGGGGUCCCCGGGUAGGGGUCGGGCCCGCCGCCCCCGGUCCCACCCCCCGGCCCGGGAUUCGGUGCUCGUCCCGGCCCGGCCCGCCCGGCCCCGGCUUCCUUACAUGGUCACGGCCGGGGCCUCCCCGCUCCCGGACGGACGUCUCUCCCUCCCCCCGCCCCCCCACCGGACACAGCCCCCGCCCUGCUCCUCAUCCCUCCCUCCUCCUCCUCCUCCUCCUCCUCCUCCUCCUCCUCCUCAUCCCUUCUUCCUCCUGCCGCCCGCCGGCCCGGGCCCCCCCCGGCCCGCCAUGGAGGACCUGGGUGAGUGCGGCGGGGGGCAGAGGGGCCGCCUGCCUCCCGCUCCCCCCGGGCCCUGCCCGCCGCCUCCAUCUCUGCCACACUCUUCUCUUCUCCUCCUCCUCCUCUUCUUCCUCCAUCCCGGGGCUCCGCUGGGCUCCAGCCUCCCCCUCCCGCUCUCCCUUCCUCCCCGGCUGCCCGGGCAUCCCACCGCCCACCUCCCCCCCGGCUCUACCUCCGUCGAGCCUCGCCGUCAUUCCUGACUUUUCUCCCUGCUUCAUUCCCUCAACGGUUCUCUCCCCUCCCCCUUUUCCCUUUUCUCUCCCUCUCCUCCCCGCUCCACGCCGCUCUUCCUGUUUCUCCCUCUUUCACCCUCUCCUUCUCUCUUUCUGUCCAUCUCCGUCUAUCCCACUCUCUCUCUCUCCCCCGUCCCACCCAUCCCCACCUGACCUGUUCCCAUCCCUCCACCGCUCUCCCCUGUCUUCUUUCUCUCUUGCCCCUCGGAGAGGCGGUCGGGCGGGGAGUCCUCCCUCCCCGGGGCCCGGGGCCCGUGGGCACCGAGGGGGCCGAGGCCGGGCCGGAGGAGACCGGGGUUCGGCCAGAGAGCGGAGACGGGCCGCGCCCCCGACUCUCUAG
rnacentral:lncRNA from 1 species